rnacentral:rRNA from 1 species
CGGCGGACGGGUGAGUAACGCGUGGGUAACCGUGCCUCAUACAGGGGGAGAACAGUUGGAAACGGCUGCUAAUACCGCAUAAGCGCACAGUACCGCAUGGUACGGUGUGAAAAACUCCGGUGGUAUGAGAUGGACCCGCGUCUGAUUAGGUAGUUGGUGGGGUAACGGCCUACCAAGCCGACGAUCAGUAGCCGACCUGAGAGGGUGACCGGCCACAUUGGGACUGAGACACGGCCCAA